GAUGAAGAACGUAGCGAAAUGCGAUAAGUAAUGUGAAUUGCAGAAUUCAGUGAAUCAUCGAAUCUUUGAACGCACCUUGCGCCCUUUGGCCAUUCCGAAGGGCAUGCCUGUUUGAGUAUCAUGAACACCUCAACUCUUCAUGGUUUUCCGUGAUGAGCUUGGACUUUGGGCGUCUUGCUGGCCUAUGGUCAGCUCCUCUAAAAUAAAUCAGCUUGCCAGUGUUUGGUGGGUAUCACAGGUGUGAUAACUAUCUACGCUUGUGGUUUUCCACCAGGUAACCUUCAGCAGUGGAGGUUCGCUGGAGCUCACAGAUGUGUCUCUCCUCAGUGAGGACAGCUCUUUGAAUGUUUGAUCUCAAAUCAGGUAGGACUACCCGCUGAACUUAAGCAUAUCAAUAAGCGGAGGA
rnacentral:misc_RNA from 1 species